rnacentral:rRNA from 1 species
CCUACGGGUGGCAGCAGUAGGGAAUUUUGCGCAAUGGGGGAAACCCUGACGCAGCAACGCCGCGUGAUCGAUGAAGCCCUUCGGGGUGUAAAGAUCUGUCAGUGGGGACGAAACCUGACGGUACCCACAGAGGAAGCACCGGCUAACUCCGUGCCAGCAGCCGCGGUAAUACGGGGGGUGCAAGCGUUGUCCGGAAUCAUUGGGCGUAAAGAGUUCGUAGGUGGCACGUUAAGGCUGGUGUUAAAGGCGGAGGCUCAACUUCGGUAGGGCACUGGAACCUGGCAGGCUUGAUUGCAGUAGAGGUAAAGGGAAUGCCUGGUGUAGCGGUGAAAUGCGUAGAUAUCAGGAGGAACAUCGGUGGCGUAGGCGCUUUACUGGGCCGUAAUUGACACUGAGGAACGAAAGCCGGGGUAGCAAAUGGGAUUAGAUACCCGGGUAGUC